AGCCUGGCCUGGAUUGCUACCUGCGGAGAAAUGCAUCCCAUCAUUAUUUCCAAAUGUAAUUCUUUCUUAGAACUAAGCCGGAGAUGGGUUUUCUCCGAAGAGGCCUUGGGGGAGCUCAUUAGACAUUGCCUGGACUUAUCAGCAGUGGGAGAGAAUCAGACUCUUCUUCACUUUCGAUUGCCCCCUCCCCACGUUAAACAUUCCAGGAAAACCCACAUUUUUUGAGAAAAAGUGAGAAGAUAAUGGCGAACGGAGAGCUCGUCAUGAGAUGAAACCUCAGCGGUGGAAAAAAAGAACUAUGGCCUGGAUGGACAGACCACGUGG